CGUGAUAGCUCAGUCGGUAGGGCGUUAGGCUGCUAAUCCAAAGGUCGCGGGUUCGAGCCCUC
rnacentral:tRNA from 1 species